rnacentral:rRNA from 1 species
UACGUAGGAGGCAAGCGUUGUCCGGAUUUACUGGGCGUAAAGCGCCCGCAGGCGGUCAAGCAAGUUCGGAGUGACAGUUCCCGGCUUAACUGGGAAAGUGGUUCGAAACUGUUUGACUUGAGGGCUUGAGAGGAAUGCGGAAUUCCAGGUGGAGCGGUGAAAUGCGUAGAGAUCUGGAGGAACACCAAAGGCGAAGGCAGCAUUCUGGCAAGUACCUGACGCUCAGGGGCGAAAGCUAGGGGAGCGAACAGG